AUGAAAAUUAUUUUGCUGCAAGUAUUCAUCCCAGAGUCAGAUUGAGAAUAAAAAUGCAUAUUGACAGGCUAAACAUUCCUUAUAUUAAGCCCAUGCUUGUGUGCCCAGACCUAGUUCUUUACCUAGGUCUGGUUUUAUAAAUGCUGGUGAUAAAC
ensembl:snoRNA SNORA72 Small nucleolar RNA SNORA72